GUGUCAUUAAUUUCAGAGAACAUUUACAUAAACCUCAUCUGUCCCUUAAAUGUGACCCCUGAGAAAAGACAUCCUAGGUUUGGGUCACUGGUAUAAUAAACAAAACCUCAUGUUAUUUAAUUGUUCUACAAUUAAAAAUCCAAAGUCAACUUGAAGCUGUUCAUCAUUUUAGUUUCCAUUUUAACUUCAAGCAACUCAACAGUUGCAUACCUGUGAAAAUCAAAAUCAACCAUUAGUCUAGUUCAUAUCUGAUCUAAGAUGGAAGGAAAAUGCAUCCUAUAAAUAUAUAAAUGAAAUGUUAGUGACAGAAUUACAAACUUAAGUAUUACACCUAAGUUUUACAGUAGAUGCAAAUUUGUCAAUCAGCAAUUUAAGUGAUCAUGCCAAAAUAAUGGGAUAGCUAAUUAGCAAUUAUUAUAAUGGAUCCACGAGACCCAACAAUGACACAAUUUAAAAAUUUACAAACUAAAUAAGCUUCUUAUUCAAGGUUGAAGACGAGCCAGCUGCAGAACUUUGCUUUACAAAAGACAGCUGAAAUGCGUGGCUGGCUGGCCAGAUAACAUGCUAGCAUUUGUGGCUGCUGGUAGCACCGCCUAGCAGCAAUGCACAGCAGCUAAGGUAGAAAUGCAGAGACUAGGCCCAAAGUGCAAGCCAUUGCAGCAGCGGACCUCCACAAAACCCCAGCUCCUCUGUCAAAAUGCCAGACUCUAACGAAGCAGUGCCAGCGCCAUGCCAGGUCAUCAAAGAGGACGUUGACAAAUGUGUCAGAGAGAAAGGAGCAGAGAACUGUAAAGAUCUGAUAGAUGCCUUCCAGGCUUGCAUAAAGACCCUGUCUGAGGGAUCGUGAUACACAAGGAAAUAUGUCUCAAUAACAUCUUCAUUUGAUCAAAAUCCUCCACCUUCCCAGCAUUCCCUUCCUUGCUUAAUUGCACUGGACCGAACAAUCUGAACAACUGGAGAGGGGCUGAUGAUGGAUGCUGCUGAUACUGUGCAAUUCUGUCAAUGUGAAAUAUUUUUUUGUAAAUUUUAUAAUUCUAUUAUGGACUGAAUAUCAAUGCACUGCAACCUUUUUAUGCACAAAAUACACACAUUUUACAAUAAAUAUGAAACCUGACCAUUUUAUAUACACAGUAUAUUGUUUUUACAUUUGUUUUAAUAAUGAAAGAUGUUAAUAUAUCAGCAUUUGUUGUUAUAGUCUUAAAUUAUCAUAUUUUGAUGUACUGGCUGUUGGACCAUCUCCACUGGCCGAGCAUAUAGGCUUUUACACAGAGCAGUUACUCUUAAUGGAAUUAAGAAGAGCUUGUUAAUCUCUGCUUAAUCCUCACAUUAGUACCUGCACUGAGCAGUCUAAUGUCACUUUUCCAGUCUGAGCUCUGGCCGUGGGGAUUGUGGGAAUGUCCAGAGAUUAGAGUAGAGAAAGGACCUGGAAGAGACAUUUUUCUCUGUCAGAGUUUCAGGAUCAAGCUGCAAAAAUAUCUGCUUGAAUGUUAGAAAGACAGAAUUACGCUGACUUUGUGAUAGAAAAUUACAGUAUAUAUUUUCAGAUUUAUGGAUAAGGCAAAGUUAACUCUGCCUGAAAAACCUUACAACUAGACUGAGAAGUUCUGUCCUACUUUUUUCCCCCUCAAUUGUGCUCCAUGGACUCCCUUGUUGCCUCCAUUCUUUUAUUUCAAAUCCUGCUGGUAGAAAAAUCAAACAAUGUUUUUUUUCUACAAAGCAUGAUUUAAAAAAAAAAGUAUCUAUAUUAAAUGUAGAGCUAUUUGAUGUGUUCCCCUUGUGUUGGUCGCCUUUAUCCAUUUUCUUGAGCAAGAUGUGACAUAUUAUUCUGAUCUCAAAAGAUCAUUUCUGUCCCAUCAGAACAAACCAGAAAAUAGCAUGAUGAGUAUCUUUCCCGUUCUAUUUCUGCUCCAUGGUUGGAGACAAAUCCUUCUGGCUGCGUGAAAAUCAACCAGCUAGGCGCAGAUGAAGAUGGGCUUUGGGGAAUUAUCCACCCACACACAACAUUUCAAAUUGAGAUUUUAGAGAUUUUUCACUUUACAGAUGAUACAUUCAAAUGUCCUACUUAUUCUUCUUCUUUUUUUUUCUUUUAUAAAUCUGUUUUCUCUGUGUGAUUCAUUUGAAUCAGCACCCAGCACUUUUCAGUCUCCUCUCCAGAUGUGGAGGUGUGAUGGGUCACUUUUCUUUAAGGAAAUAAAAAUAUUCUCUUUUAGCACUGUAAAGGUUUCAGUGAGGUUUAAACGUCCCAUGGUCUGUGCUGCUGUAAAGGCUUUGUAUGGUAUUUUUUUCAUAAUUUGGUGAUUGAUCAGAUCUUGUUGAAGAACAGAGUGACAGUUGGUACUAUUUUUAUAAUCAUUAUUAUGUGAAUGUACACUAAACAUAACCCCCCAAAAACCAACUAAACAUGUCUCAUAAGAUUUUGGUAGUUAAUAUACAAAAAAAUACAAAUUUAUAAGGAUAUUAUGCAAAAUGGAGCAGCCAAUUUAUGUAGAAGUCACCACACAAUAUGUGCUUUUCAUAUGGACCACUAUGAGAAUGUGUUCAAGUAAACUAAUGAGUCUGUCUCACAGCAGACUUUUUGACUUGUCAUUGUGGGAACAGCACAGGUGUUACUAAUAACACUAAUGAUGGCUCCAGUAAACCAUGACAGACAGUGAGUCAGCAGGCACAAUAUCAGGACAACUAUCAGGAAAACUGAAGCAGCCAAAGAGAAUUCAGCCAUGAUUCCUUUCACAAUUUACACCGUGCUUUCCCUACUAUGACAUGUUAUGAAGGUUAUCAACAAUCAUAAAACAAAAUGAACAUAAUAUUAAUGAAGCAGUUUAAGAUACGUUUACAUACCAUCAGUGGUUG